AAGUCGUAACAAGGUAACCGUAGGUGAACCUGCGGUUGGAUCAUUAACAAAAUAUCCACGUCCCUGGCAGCAAUGCUGGGGAUUGUGGCUAAAACCCCAACAUCUUGUGAACUGUUUUGUCUCUGGCGGCGGGGUGGAAUGGUGGAGUGUUAUUGAACAAAGCCAAUUCAUCUGUCAGCUUGGGACCUUUUGGUCUCUUGCCGUGGACAAACCGCCAACUGUGUUUAAACCUAUGCCUUUGAUUUUUGUCUCUAAAUACACCUGUUAGAAAUAAAUAGAAACAACUUUUGGCAACGGAUCUCUUGGCUCUC
rnacentral:misc_RNA from 1 species